rnacentral:RNase_P_RNA from 1 species
CGGAGAGGUCGAGGCGGCCGCUGGCGACGGUGCGCAAGUGCCGUCGCGAGAGGAAAGUCCGAGCUUCACAGGGCAGGGUGCUGGUUAACGGCCAGUCGAGGUGACUCGCAGGACAGUGCAACAGAAAGCAAACCGCCCAUCGCGAGAUGGGCAAGGGUGAAACGGUGCGGUAAGAGCGCACCGCCUCUCCGGUGACGGAGAGGGCACGGCAAACCCCACCCGAAGCAAGACCAGACAGGGGUCGCGUGGCCCGCGCGAUGACCCCGGGUUGGUUGCUCGAGCCCGUCGGCAACGCCGGGCCUAGAGGAAUGGUCGCCAACCACAGAACUCGGCUUACGGACCUCUCCGCCGG